CACGCUGUAACGAUGUCGAUUUGGAGGUGUUCCCUGAGAGUGGCUUCCGGAGCUAACGCGUUAAAUCGACCGCCUGGGGAGUACGGCCGCAAGGUUAAAACUCAAAUGAAUUGACGGGGGCCCGCACAAGCGGUGGAGCAUGUGGUUUAAUUCGAUGCAACGCGAAGAACCUUACCUACUCUUGACAUCCAGAGAAUUUAGCAGAGAUGCUUUAGUGCCUUCGGGAACUCUGAGACAGGUGCUGCAUGGCUGUCGUCAGCUCGUGUUGUGAAAUGUUGGGUUAAGUCCCGCAACGAGCGCAACCCUUAUCCUUUGUUGCCAGCACAUUAUGGUGGGAACUCAAAGGAGACUGCCGGUGAUAAACCGGAGGAAGGUGGGGAUGACGUCAAGUCAUCAUGGCCCUUACGAGUAGGGCUACACACGUGCUACAAUGGCGUAUACAAAGAGAAGCGACCUCGCGAGAGCAAGCGGAACUCAUAAAGUACGUCGUAGUCCGGAUUGGAGUCUGCAACUCGACUCCAUGAAGUCGGAAUCGCUAGUAAUCGUAGAUCAGAAUGCUACGGUGAAUACGUUCCCGGGCCUUGUACACACCGCCCGUCACACCAUGGGAGUGGGUUGCAAAAGAAGUAGGUAGCUUAACCUUCGGGAGGGCGCUUACCACUUUGUGAUUCAUGACUGGGGUGAAGUCGUAACAAGGUAACCA
rnacentral:rRNA from 1 species